CCGCCUUCGCGUCCGCUGCCAGAUCCCCGCCCUUCCCCCAAACCCUGCCCCACACCACGCAAAUCCUAUGACUAGACCUGACCUGAUUGAUUGCCUACGCCCCACGCAACGCCACGAGCCCACAACGCACCCCGCAAGCGAAGCAAAGCAAGCCCCAGGCGGCGCCACCAGCGGAGGACGCGAUGGGGCAUAAGAUCGCGCGGACGACGCAGGCGUCGACAGAGUACUACCUCCACGACCUGCUGUCCACCUACAAUCUCAUGCUCCUCGACGUCGACAGCCGCGGCCGCUUCCUCAAGUCCGUCCGCUGCAAGCACGACGAGGGGUUGCUCCUCGUCAAGGUCUACUUUAAGCCCGUCGGCGAGUCCAUAGACCUCAAGGUAAUCCGCCCGCGGCCGCGGCUGGCGGCUGCUCGCAGGUGCACUGCCAAUCCCCUCGUGACUUCAAUCGGAUUUGGUUCUGGAUCGUGGUCGUGAGAUCCCGCUGCUGGUUUUGCAGGAGCACGACCUGAGGCUAGAGUGGAUUAGGAACGCGUUCAAGGGGAUCGAGGGGUCCCACGUUUGGCCCUUCCAGGUGAGGAUUCUGUGCUUAGGGCUUACGGUUUUGCCUGUGGGGCGUAGGUUGUAGCUUCAUAAAAGAGGGGGCAUUGGGGACGCUAUUCCAAUGCGCAAUUGCAUGUUCUAAGAGAUUUUUUUAUUGUGGUUUAUCGGAUUUUUAUCCCAUGUGUUGCAUGUAUGUUUGGUUAAGCUAAGUUUACAGUACAAGGUUGUGUUUUUGGUAAUAAAUUAACCGCCCUUUCAAGUGAUUUUUAUCCCAUGUGCUGCGUGUUAGCUAUUUUGAUUAAGUCCUGAUGAAAAGUUAGUGAUAUAGCUAGUUUAUUUGGAUGUUUUUUCCACAAGCUGGCAUGUUACUGAAAUACUAAGAUAGUAUGAACCAAUAAAUGUACGUUGCAAUUCAGUUCACUUGCUGAAUUGGCUUCUAGUGUUGUUCAGGUUUGGCUGCAAACAGAUAAGGCAGCAUAUCUCUUGAGACAAUACUUCUUCAGUAACUUGCAAGAUCGAUUGAGUACACGCCCUUUCCUCAGUCAGGUUGCAAAGAAAUGGCUUGCCUUUUAGUUAAUUCAUGCAGUGGAACAGAGCCAUAGUAAGGGAAUUUUGCCAUGGUGACAUAAAAUGUGAAAAUGUGCUCGUUACUUCUUGGAAUUGGUUAUAUCUUGCGGACUUUGCAUCAUUCAAGCCAACGUAUAUCCCGGAUGAUGAUCCGUUUGAUUUCUCAUUCUAUUUUGACACUAGAGGAAGACGACGAUGCUAUCUAGCACCUGAACCUCGCCGCAGAUGACAAGACCGACGAGUUGUUCGCCAAAAUCUCCCUCAGGCUAGGCCCCCCUUCGCUUCUCAAGUGUAAAAUAAUAUACCAGUAGACUUUAAGAUAGUUGUAUUAGAGUCAAGUCAAUGGUGUCUAAAGUCUAAACUGGGUCGACUUGGAUGCCAGCAAUGGGCUAUAUUAUUAGAGGCAGGGAUGGGCUGAUUGAACAAACAUUUUUUGGAUUUACCAGAAUCAUGGUUUGAUGUUGUUGAGCGGACCUCAAAGGACAAUAACAAGACACUACAGAAAAGCUGAAGUAUGAGGAAAUAGUUGCCAACAUAUAACCAGAUUUUGGAACUAAUGGAAAGGAGUUAAUAAAGGGGAUCUUAGGGGAUAAGUGGCAAAAAAAAUCAAAAUACCAUCUCUUCGCGAAAAACUUGUCUCAUAUAUGGCUUUUCAAGUGUAAAAGACUCUGGUAUGUGUACCCUCAAUUAUACUCGUCCCUUGAACUAUCUUUAAAGGUAAUAUAUUUAUAAUUUAGAGAAAUUUUGUUGUAUAGAUGCAGUUUCUUAGCUGUGUUUUCUGCUUGGAAAACCAAUCAAAAGCCACAGCGCGGAUACGCUCAAGUCCACCUCCAUCAACAGGCAACCGUCUGCCUGGGGUCGAGUGCCUCCCACCCAUCAAAUCCAAGCAUCAGGAGGCGCUCACCUUUGACAGCGGCCAUCCCUCAACCCUCUGUAGCAUGUGGCGCCCCCGCUGCGAAUCUGCCUUUACGACAUUUGCCAUCCUCGCAUCCCAAACCGUCGAUGCCCACCCCCUAACACGGUUCCUGACCUCCCUGACAGGGGACUCCUCUGAAGGAUAUAACAAGUGG